ensembl:lncRNA
GUUCUGAAUUUUCUCUUCAUGUCUGAACAACUUCUUGCUACUCGCUCAAUUUCCACUCAACCCCCACAAAUUAUACAUCAAAACGUAGGUAUUUUUGCUGGCUUUCAGAAAAUGUCACUAUCACUGUUGUGGAAGUUACAGAUUUUUAUCAAAUCGCCUCAGAGCAACACAAAGUCUUAAAACUCUCCAUAGAAAGUCAAUGGAGAGUCUGUUCAAAAUCAGCGCUGGGACUCUCUAAUGAGAGGCAUUUUCAAAUCGUCAUAUCUCUUUAACAAAGCAAAGUUAGGACAUGAGGCUUGUGCCAAUAUAUCUUCAG